ACGAAUUUAUUUCAAACCAAGAUGAUAAAAUGUGAGGCUGGAUGAACACAGCAGGCCCAGCAGCACGAAAGGUGACGUUUCGGGCCUAGACCCUUCACAUCUGAGAGGGGAUAGGGCAAUUAUCUGAUGUGCCAAGACAAUGUCACAUUUCCGUGGUGCAACACCAAGUGUGACUAGCUGCUCCUACUAACAGCAGGAGUGAAACUCCAGACCGAGGACAAAGACUCGGGGUACAGUCAGAAUUCAGGGCCAUAGCAGUAUUUCGUCAACCAUUCACCGGAUCAUGCGGGGAGAGGGCCACAGCCACCCCUCUUGAAGAUGCAGUUACAUCAUUAAUCUUUAUCUCAGAUUGGAAAGCGAGAUUGAUGACACUCUGAUUCUCACAGUGGAAUACACGAUUAUACGUUUUGUUACAGUGAUCCAAUGCAACUGGAUCACUGUGCCUCUCCCCUUAUUCUAUACAACCAAUCCUUUGAAACUCCAAACUGAAGAUGGACCCUCUAUUAGCCAGGCCAAGGUUCGCCACAAUCUCAUAACGUUUAACAGACAAUGUAAUCACAAUGGGAUCUUUCCAUUCAUCUGUUCAUUCGCUUUUCAAAUUUACUGGCCGUACACCUUCAGUCAUGCCCCAGAAUCACUUACCUAUCAGGCUAGCUUGAAUUCUGCUGUCAAUUGUCUUAAUUUCCUGUCUCCAUUAAAUUCUGUUACUCCUCUUAUUUUCCCACUGUCUGAAUUAUAAUAAAACAGACAGUUGACUCCUACUAGGAGGCCAGGCCGCAUCAGAGUAGCAGGAAAGUUGAUGCUUCUGAAGAAGAAUCCUGACCCACAACUUAAACUUUCCUGCACCUCUGCUGCCUGGCCUGCUGUGUUCCUCCAACUCCGCAUUGUGUUAUCUCUAACUGCAGCAUUGGCAGGGCUUACUAUUGCUGAGUUGAUUGUUACGAGUUGCUAUAAAAUUCAUGAUAAUUAAUUGUAUUAUAAAGUGAGUUAUAUGUAAAGCUUUAUGCGUACCCAUACUCUUAGCUCUGUUUUAGCUAAUGACUUGUGAGCCAUUUGCUUCUUCUUGGAUGCACCAGGCAUUCCUUUAGUGACAUAGGAAAGCGUCUGGAGACUAAUGAACUUUCAUACCCAUAUUUGAAUCUUGUCCCCUAAUGCUUUUAGUGAUAUUUGUAUUUUAUUUUAUAUAUAUAGAUUUAGAAUUACAUUGAAAUCCAUCUGAAGGAUCUUUAACUGGAACCAAUUUCGUAAUACUGUGAAUAUUGCUGCAAGAUGGAGUUAUCUGCUGUUUUCAUGAUGAGCUAGGCCAGCUGUCUUUGGGAUGAUUGACACCCCUCAUCCUAACUAACUAUGUUGAUCUAAUGGGACAACAUCCUUUCAUUAAAGGGACUGAAAUCAAUUGCUUAUCAAUUUUAA